rnacentral:lncRNA from 1 species
GGCAGAAAUCAGAAUAUAUAUACCAAAUGGCUAAAACACAAACUGUAAAUUAAGAAGUGGUAUGACAGUCACAUCUUAUCUGCCAUGUAAAAAAGAAAAGGAAAGAAAAGAAAAAGAACAUUUCUAGCUGGAGGAUGUGCUUUACCCUUGAGGGAUUUCUUUAAAAAAUAUUUUUAGUAUUUAUUAUAAUUUCAAAAAUAUGGAAAUCAUAAAGAGCAGUAUAGUGAAACCCAUAUACCAGUCCCUUAGAUUCAACUGUUAUUAACAUUUUGCCACAUUUGCUUCAAAAUUAGAUUUUGAUGGUUGAAAAGCCAGGGUAUACAUCUCAGUUAAAAGAAAUUUUGUAAAGAAAAACCCUGGAGUAAACUCAUCUAGGAAUUGCUUAAAAAUAAGACAUUUAUGAGGAUAAGGGACAAAAGGGAAACCAAGGUUAUCAUAUAAAUGGCUAUAAUAUGAACAUCAAGCUCAAGAAUAUGUGUAUGAAAAGGGAUGGUGAGGAUGGAAGGGAUCAAACAUCUUUUGUGUAAAGUUCUAUGCUGCAUAUCCUCAUCUGUAUCAUUUCAUAUAAUAUGUUCUGAAUUUUUUUCUAUAGAUAACAGAUUUUUUUUUCCCUUCAGAGUUGGUAUUUGAAAAUAAUUUCUAGCAUGUUGAGUUGAAUGGCUCUCAGGGAAGAAAAAAAUGAAAGCAUGGGGGUCAGGUAAGGGGUUAGGUAUGAGAGCUAUCUGAGUGCUAGUAAAAUAAAGCUGAGCACAAGGCAUGGAAAGGGACAAGGACUACCUUUACUAGCACAAAUUUAGGUUAACUUUCAAGGAUGUGACAGCUGAUUUGGUGUGGAUCAUGAAAGGAAGGAAGAGACAAAAGGAGGAAAGGAAUGAUAAUAAGCUAACAUUUGGAGUUCCCAUCGUGGCACAGUGGAAACGAAUCUGACUAGGAACCAUGAGAUUGGAGGUUCGACCCCUGGCCUCACUUGUGGGUUAAGGAUCCAGUAUUGCCAUGAGCUGUGGUGUAGGUCACAGAGGUGGCUCAGAUCUGGCAUUGCUGUGGCUCUGGUAUAGGCCAGCAGCUGUAGCUCCAAUUGGAUCCCUAGCCUUGGAACCUCCAUAUGCUGCAAGUGUGGCCCUAAAAGACAAAAAGACAAAAAAACAGCUAACACUCAAAGAAAACAGCCUCUGUGUCAAGCACAACUAAAUAUUUUGCUUAAAUUAUUUUAUAUGUUGGUUACUCUCCAAAUCAAAUGCCAUUGGUUUUCCAAUUUUUUAAAAAAAGAAAUUGAGGGAGAAAUUAGAACAUUUUUAUGGAUAAAAAGAACUUGCAAGUAGAAGACUAUCUUGCAAAUCCGGUCUUGUAGUUUGAUUCUACAAUCCCCCAUUUUUCUAUAUUACCUCUAUAAAAUGCACUUACAAGAUUGUGAGUCUUAGUGAAGGAAAAAGGGAUGCUGCUAUUAGUAAUGGCAAGAUGAAAAACUAGCCAUGGAGAAGGAUGAGUUCUCUUUGGUUACUGAAGCAGAAACUCUAGCUGUCAUGCCCAUUUUCCUCCUCUUCCAUGUUUCCUUCCAAUUUUUAACUGUUACUUGGCUGUCUAUAAUGGAGAAUACAUUUUCCAUAUUCUCUUGCAAAGAGGUGUUGACGUGACAAAAUUCUGGCAAGUUGGGAAUAGGUGAAAUGCUAAGUUCAGUGUCCAGGGAUUUUCAUUAAGGAACAAAGUAAUGUUACUCUUCCACCUCUUCACCCUUGGAAGGCAAGGGCCAUGGCUGAAGCUUCAGCAGGAAUUCUGAAAGAUUUGUUGUUCAUAUCAUGAGACAGGGAGCAAGCCAUAACAAAACAAUAAUAAGAUAGAAGUAGCCUGGAUCCCUGCCACUGUGGAAUGAGAGGGAGAAUAAACUUGUUUGAAUUAUGGUUGCUCUAGAAUUUUUCCCAUGUGAAAAAGCAUAUAAUCUUGUCCUAUGAGAUACAAAUAUACUGAUUUUUGAUUUCUCUUACAUUGCUUCCUCAUUCAUUUUUCUAUUGUGUAAAGUACAUUAAUGUAUAAAUGCCUGUACUUUUAUUUACAUGUUAUUCUUAUUCACCAUCUUGGGCACAUGGAAUUAUGAGUUUUAGCAGUAUAUUUAUGGUUGAUAUCCUUUUCUUUUUUAAAACAUUUUGUGUGGCUGGAAAGAACAUUGAAGUCAGAUAUGACUUAGGACUAAAUCUCAUCCAUGCCAUAUAUUAGCUAUAUAUCCACAGAAAUUUCCACAAUCUCUCUAAAAAUAACUUUUCUCAUCUGUAAAAAUAUAAGAAUAUCUGCCUUAAAAUUUGCUGGGUAGAAUAAAUGAGCUAAUAUAUAGAAAAUUAUAAGUAAAACUUAAGUUGUCCUUUAGUUCAUGAGUAGUGCCUGACACACAAUGGGUAAUAUUUGUUGAGGAAACUCCAGUUUUAAAGAUGGAAACCUCCAAAUAAAUGUGAUUCAAGUAAUGAACUCAAGACUAUAUUGUGACAACUCUGGUCAGGAAAGGCUGAGGUGAUAUUACCAUAUUUUUCCCUGAGUUGACAAUUACUUAAUGCUUUAUGUAUCUUUUGAUUGAAAUUUUUAUAGAAGGGGAAUUCCAUUGCUGCUCAGCGGAAUAAAUCCAACUGGUAUUCAUGAGGUUGUAGGUUCCAUCACUGGCCUUACUCAGUGGGUUAAGGAUCCAGUGUUGCCAUGAGCUGUGGUGUAGGUCACAAACUUGGCUCAGAUCCUAUAUUGCUGUGGCUGUGGCAUAGGCUGGCAGAUGUACCUCCACUUCCACCCCUACCCUGGGAACUGCAAUAUGCCGUGGGUGUGGCCCUAAAGAGCACCCCCACACCAAAAAAAAAUUAUGAAAGAAAACGUAUCACAGGAAAGUAAGCUCCUGAAUGAAGAAGGACUUAAAUUUGCAUUUAAAUUUUUCAAAAUUUACAGAGUUCUUAGGUAAUACAAAAAUAAUGUGAAUAUUUGAUUUUCGUAACAUACAGAAUCAUUUAAUUCUGAUUCUUGGUGGACUUUUGGGAGUUAGUCAUACAUAUUUAUCAUAGUGUAUCAUGUAAAAUGCAGUAGACAUUUAGCUAAAGAUGCUAGUAUUAGAAUUGUUUAUAUUAAGUAUUAUCAAUUUAAACAAUACUAAUAAAUGCAUGAAUAUGAUGAUAUUUGGAAAACGUUCAAUGAAAAAGGACUGUUUCUGGAAUCAGUAAUGAGUUGGAAUAUCUUUGGUAUCAAAUGACAAUGUUUGAUUUCCAAGAAAAUUGUGGGAUUUUAAGGACAUAUGUAUCUCUUUAGAAUGAACUACUAAGCAUCUCUCUAAUCCUAAUGGGGCUUUGGCUGUUCAAGUUUACUUCUCUAAAUAAUAUAUGUAUAAUACAUAAUAAAUACUUGAAGAAGGGUAUAUGUAGUCCGGAAUUUGAGGAGAAUUUUACUGUGGGAAAGAAGAGUUGGAGUUCAAAAACAGGAAAGGGCGAUUUAUUAAGGAAUGGUACUUCAAUGCCAGGACUCAUGGAUUGAAGCUACUUUUGAUGUUUUGGGAGAUACAUCAAAAAUUAAAGAUACACGUUGCUUUAAAUUAUUACUGGAUGAUUUUGCUUUGAAUGUUGCACUUGGUGGACUUGGAGAUAGUGCUUUGCCUGGGUUAUUUAUAGGUGUAAUAUGAAAAGUUUUCCAGUUUUUUUCCUCAUAAGGAUUUUAAUCAUAUAUUAAAGAGAUAACAGAGAUACAAAAACUUGUUGAUUCUUUGGCUCAGAUAUGUAUCUGAAAGUGUGGAGCAGUCAUUCCAGGUGAUACACAUUUUUGGUAUAUUAGAUGCAAGAACACUGGAGCUACUAAGCAGAAAAUAAUGAUUGAAUCUUUAGAUACUAACCUCAAACUAGGGCUUCAACAUUUUUUACGCAUUCUUAGUAUCCUUUGAAAGAGGAAAAGCCAAAGUACUUAUAAUAAAAGAUGAAAUCAUGAGUAUGCUUUUAGGUAUAGGUAUGAUUUUUCCUUAUUCCAAAAUAAAUGUAGGCUUAAGAUGGAGACCAGGUCUGCUUUAUUCCUAGCCUUAGGUCAGAACUUAAUGUAGAAUUCACUCAGCAAUUAUUUAUUAAAGGAAUAAAAGUACCAAUGGCAAAGGUAAAUGUCCAUCCCACAUUAUACUAAAAGAAUAUCUCCUUUUGUGUGUGUAUUUAUAUACAAAUAUAAGAUCAUAUGUAAAAUAUAUGUUAAUGUGAAUACAUAUGUGCAAGAUAAAACAAUAAUAGUAAUGUUAACUGUGGUUAAUAUAUAUUGAACUUUUAUUAUGUUCUAAACACUGUUAGUACAAUUUUCUGUUUAAUAAUAACAUAAUUCCAUAAACAUAAUUCUAUAAUUCCAUAAAUAAUAGCAUAAUUCCAUAAAUUCCAAAAUUUCUAUAAACAUUGUACUAUUAGGAAAACGAAUAUGAAUGCAAUAUCACAUAGUUGGCAGGAGCACCAAAUUUGAACCUGCACGUAUUUGAUUUGGAGGCAAUGCUCUUAAGCAGUGUGCAUACAUUUAUAAAUAUGCUUACAAGACUAGAUGGACAACAACAAUGUUUUUACUGACUCUUUUUUUGAUCUAAUAGAUAGUUCACCUCUAAUGAAAUGUUUUAAAA